AACGAACGCUGGCGGCAGGCCUAACACAUGCAAGUCGAACGCACCUUUCGGGGUGAGUGGCUGACGGGUGAGUAACGCGUGGGAAUCUACCCUUCUCUACGGGAUAGCUCCGGGAAACUGGAAUUAAUACCGUAUACGUCCUGAGGGAGAAAGAUUUAUCGGGGAAGGAUGAGCCCGCGUUGGAUUAGCUAGUUGGUGGGGUAAAGGCCUACUAAGGCGACGAUCCAUAGCUGGUCUAAGAGGAUGAUCAGCCACAUUGGGACUGAGACACGGCCCAAACUCCUACGGGAGGCGGCAGUGGGGGAUAUUGGACAGUGGGCGCAAGCCUGAUCCAGCCAUGCCGGGUGAGUGAUGAAGGCCCUAGAGUUGUAAAGCUCUUUCAGUGGGGACGGUAAUGACGGUACCCACAGAAGAAGCCCCGGCUAACUUCGUG
rnacentral:rRNA from 1 species